rnacentral:rRNA from 1 species
CCUACGGGAGACAGCAGUGAGGAAUAUUGGUCAAUGGACGAAAGUCUGAACCAGCCAAGUAGCGUGAAGGAUGACUGCCCUAUGGGUUGUAAACUUCUUUUAUAUGGGAAUAAAAUUGUCCACGUGUGGCUGUUUGUAUGUACCCUAUGAAUAAAGACCGGCUAACUCCCUGCCAGCAGCCGCGGUAAUACGGAGGAUCCGAGCGUUAUCCGGAUUUAUUGGGUUUAAAGGGAGCGUAGGACGGUUGUUAAGGCUGGUGUGAAAGUUUGCGGCUCAACCUUGAGAUUGCAGUGGAAACUGGAGGUCUUGAGGGCAGUAGAGGAAGGCGGAAUUCGUGGUGUAGCGGUGAAAUGCUUAGAUAUCACGAAGAACUCCGAUUGCGAAGGCAGCCUACUGGAGUGCAACUGACGCUGAGGCUCGAAAGUGUGGGUAUCAAACAGGAUUAGAUACCCUUGUAGUC